CUACAGGCUUAACACAUGCAAGUCGAGGGGCAGCAUGGUCUUAGCUUGCUAAGGCCGAUGGCGACCGGCGCACGGGUGAGUAACACGUAUCCAACCUGCCGUCUACUCUUGGACAGCCUUCUGAAAGGAAGAUUAAUACAAGAUGGCAUCAUGAGUCCGCAUGUUCACAUGAUUAAAGGUAUUCCGGUAGACGAUAGGGAUGCGUUCCAUUAGAUAGUAGGCGGGGUAACGGCCCACCUAGUCUUCGAUGGAUAGGGGUUCUGAGAGGAAGGUCCCCCACAUUGGAACUGAGACACGGUCCAAACUCCUACGGGAGGCAGCAGUGAGGAAUAUUGGUCAAUGGGCGAGAGCCUGAACCAGCCAAGUAGCGUGAAGGAUGACUGCCCUAUGGGUUGUAAACUUCUUUUAUAAAGGAAUAAAGUCGGGUAUGCAUACCCGUUUGCAUGUACUUUAUGAAUAAGGAUCGGCUAACUCCGUGCCAGCAGCCGCGGUAAUACGGAGGAUCCGAGCGUUAUCCGGAUUUAUUGGGUUUAAAGGGAGCGUAGAUGGAUGUUUAAGUCAGUUGUGAAAGUUUGCGGCUCAACCGUAAAAUUGCAGUUGAUACUGGAUAUCUUGAGUGCAGUUGAGGCAGGCGGAAUUCGUGGUGUAGCGGUGAAAUGCUUAGAUAUCACGAAGAACUCCGAUUGCGAAGGCAGCCUGCUAAGCUGCAACUGACAUUGAGGCUCGAAAGUGUGGGUAUCAAACAGGAUUAGAUACCCUGGUAGUCCACACGGUAAACGAUGAAUACUCGCUGUUUGCGAUAUACAGCAAGCGGCCAAGCGAAAGCGUUAAGUAUUCCACCUGGGGAGUACGCCGGCAACGGUGAAACUCAAAGGAAUUGACGGGGGCCCGCACAAGCGGAGGAACAUGUGGUUUAAUUCGAUGAUACGCGAGGAACCUUACCCGGGCUUAAAUUGCAGAUGAAUUACGGUGAAAGCCGUAAGCCGCAAGGCAUCUGUGAAGGUGCUGCAUGGUUGUCGUCAGCUCGUGCCGUGAGGUGUCGGCUUAAGUGCCAUAACGAGCGCAACCCUUGUUGUCAGUUACUAACAGGUUCCGCUGAGGACUCUGACAAGACUGCCAUCGUAAGAUGUGAGGAAGGUGGGGAUGACGUCAAAUCAGCACGGCCCUUACGUCCGGGGCUACACACGUGUUACAAUGGGGGGUACAGAGGGCCGCUACCACGCGAGUGGAUGCCAAUCCCCAAAACCUCUCUCAGUUCGGACUGGAGUCUGCAACCCGACUCCACGAAGCUGGAUUCGCUAGUAAUCGCGCAUCAGCCACGGCGCGGUGAAUACGUUCCCGGGCCUUGUACACACCGCCCGUCAAGCCAUGGGAGCCGGGGGUACCUGAAGUGCGUAACCGCGAGGAGCGCCCUAGGGUAAAACUGGUGACUGGGGCUAAGUCAUA
rnacentral:rRNA from 1 species